GUAGGUGGCGAGCGUUGUCCGGAAUUAUUGGGGCGUAAAGCGCGCGCAGGCGGUUCUUUAAGUCUGAUGUGAAAGCCCACGGGCUCAACCGUGGAGGGUCAUUGGAAACUGGAGAACUUGAGUACAGAAGAGGAAAGCGGAAUUCCACGUGUAGCGGUGAAAUGCGUAGAGAUGUGGAGGAACACCAGUGGCGAAGGCGGCUUUCUGGUCUGUAACUGACGCUGAGGCGCGAAAGCGUGGGGAGCAAACAGGAUUAGAUACCCUGGUAGUCCACGCCGUAAACGAUGAGUGCUAAGUGUUAGGGGGUUUCCGCCCCUUAGUGCUGCAGCUAACGCAUUAAGCACUCCGCCUGGGGAGUACGGCCGCAAAGGCUG
rnacentral:rRNA from 1 species